rnacentral:misc_RNA from 1 species
AGAGAAAAGAAGGAAUGACAAAAGUUGGUGAGAUUUUUUACUGGCUACUUAUCUAUAUUUUCAAUAUACAUUACAGGCCUGCUAUCGUAAAAGAUGGUAGGCCUCUUUGUCACAAAGUUGACAGGAACGUUCUUUGAAGUAUUGGUAAACAUAGAAAAGAUUAACAAGUAGAAAUUACAA